GCAGGCUGCAACUCGCCUGCAUGAAGUUGGAAUUGCUAGUAAUCGCGAAUCAGAAUGUCGCGGUGAAUACGUUCCCGGGCCCUUGUACACACCGCCCGUCACACCAUGAGAGUCGAUAACACCCGAAGCCUGUGAGCUAACCGCAAGGGGGCGGCAGUCGAAGGUGGGGUUGAUGAUUGGGGUGAAGUCGUAACAAGGUAUC
rnacentral:rRNA from 1 species